rnacentral:rRNA from 1 species
GGACGGGUGAGUAACGCGUGGGUAACCUGCCUUAUACAGGGGGAUAACAGUUAGAAAUGACUGCUAAUACCGCAUAAGCGCACAGGAUUGCAUGAUCUGGUGUGAAAAACUCCGGUGGUAUAAGAUGGACCCGCGUCUGAUUAGCUUGUUGGUGAGAUAACGGCCCACCAAGGCGACGAUCAGUAGCCGACCUGAGAGGGUGACCGGCCACAUUGGGACUGAGACACGGCCCAAACUCCUACGGGAGCAGCAUG